rnacentral:misc_RNA from 1 species
CAGCCAUCAAGCCCCCCGGGCUUGUGUUGGGGACCCGCGGCUGCCGCGGGCCCUGAAAGACAGUGGCGGUCUCGCUGUAGCACCGAGCGUAGUAGCAUACACCUCGCUCCGGUCGCGCGGCGGGCUUCCGGCCGUAAAAACCCCUACAAUCAAA